AAGGACACGGCUGCGAGAGGGAGGCAGCAGCCCCGAGGCUCAGCCGGGGCUCCACGGCGCCGGCUUCGGAUGGCGCUGCUGGGGCGGCAGCCGGGUCUGGGGGAAGACACUCACCAUCUGCAUGGGAGCUUCAGGUGAAACUGGACCACCCCACCUAUUCUCUUUCUCUCUGGAGAGAGGGACGCCCCAGCUGCUGUUUGACUGGAACCUCACCAGAGCUGCCAUCACCAGAAUACUGCAACAGACAGGUGAGGAAAAUCAGAGCCCCACGUUCUCUCUCUCCCUGAGGCUACUGUUAGCCCUGGGGCUGGCUCAGAGCUUGCAGUGGUGGCCCCUGAAGCCUCCUGAGCCAACAGCACCCCCUGGAGCCAUGGAAGAGUCACUUCAGCCAUUCUGCCUUAGAUGUGAGCCUUCAGCGCCCUCUGCUGGUCAUGGCCAUAACUACAGAAACAGGAGAACUACUUAAUGGGUGGGACGAGUCUCUUACUGGUUUGGGGGGUUGUCCUUGUUUUUGUUGUUUGUUUGCUCUUGUAUAUGUGUGUGUGUGUGUAUUCCAGUAAAGAACUGUUAUUCCUUUUCCCAUAUCUUCGCCUGGAAGCCCUGUAAUUUCAAGUUAUAAUUUGGAGGAAGGAGGCUUUCCAUUCAAGGAAGAUUUACAGCCUUCUUGGCAGAUGGCUGUCUUUUAAACCAGUGUGGAAGCUAAGACAGAGAGUACUGUGGAUUUAAUCAGCAUAUGCAGUUUGAUAACCAAGACAUCUUGGCAAGAGCAGACAGAGCUUUGAAGAUUACAAGAAAAUUGGAUCAAGACUGGUGACAAGAAAGAAGACUGAACUAAGUAGAAAUGUAAAGUUUGUGUGAUGUUUAACUCAAUGAAUGUAGUAAAAAAUUA